rnacentral:rRNA from 1 species
AUGAAAUUUGCCUUCAAGCUUCUCCAAAAACAAGACUUGCCUUGGGUAAACUGGUUCUUCCAACACUACUCUCUCGACUUCAAAAAUAAACCUCACAACCCCUCCUACCUUUGGAAAAUCGUAAACAAACAACUUAGCCCGUACGCAGUAUAUCUUUUGUCCUCACCAACAAUGGUACUUCCACCUUCUUCUGGCUGGAUGCUUGGCUUCUUCCGACACCGCUUGCAGAUACCUACCCACACCUCUUCUCCCACUCCACCUCACCCUCGGUCCUGGUAUCACAUGUCAUGCAUAAUGGUUUACUCGCUACUCUGCGGAACGCCUAACAAUUGUUGCUUCUGUAGAGCUUGCGUCUAUUUUGUCUCUGUUGCAGGAUGUUGCCACCAACGACACGCCCGACGACAGGUUCCUCAACCACGGCUCCUCCUCCUCCUCGAGGUGCGCCUACUCGCUGCUCUCCUCCGACCACGAGAUCGAUCUCAACGCAGGGUACAUUUGGAGCUCCAAGGCACCUAUCAAGGUCAAGAUCUUCGGUUGGCUUCUCUGUAG